rnacentral:lncRNA from 1 species
GAACUAGAGAGAAAAGUUAAAACUUUAUUAAUGGUGACAAAUCCUUUAUCUCCUCCUCAGGUCUUAGAAAAAAAAUCAGAAAAUUCAUGGAGAACAGAGACCAUCUGAAUAUAAGCAAUAGAUUCUGGGUGCUUUCUGAAGACUCUUCCCCAUAUGCAGAGAUCACACUCUUCAGACAGCCUCGGUCACCUGUGUAUCUGAACUAAGAGCCCUGGAUGAUGAAGAGAGGAAACUGUAGCAAAGGAUCCAGGUAUGUUAGAGGGAUUGAAGAAGACUUGGGGAUGGAGACACUCAAUUGACAGAGGAAAAAGAACAUGGAGUUGGUUUUGCCAGAUUCUAUUUCAUUCCCUAUGUCUCUAGGCAAUUGCCCUGAGACUAAUAUCAGAAUAUUUCCACUGUAGGUGGUAGAGUACUCUCUCUGUAAGAAAUAAUGCAUAGAGGCAAAUGAAAUUUAAUUGGUUUGUAUAUGAGGUAUGCUGUCCCUCUCCUAUUGACAUCACUGAUCAUAUCUUCUUACCAAUGUUAAGUAUUUUCAUUGUCAUAAUUUCAAUAUAAUGUUUAGUCAGAACAAUUGAUGCCUAUUAGUUUUUCCCGAUUUUUGAGUUUUGAAUCAUUUGGCAUUUCCUUUAAGUUGUGUUUUCUUUUAUGGUUAAUUUCCUAAAGUAAUU